CCUACGGGAGGCAGCAGUGAGGAAUAUUGGUCAAUGGACGAGAGUCUGAACCAGCCAAGUAGCGUGAAGGAUGACUGCCCUAUGGGUUGUAAACUUCUGUUAUAAAGGAAUAAAACGAGGCACGUGUGCCUUUUUGCAUGUACUUUAUGAAUAAGGAUCGGCUAACUCCGUGCCAGCAGCCGCGGUAAUACGGAGGAUCCGAGCGUUAUCCGGAUUUAUUGGGUUUAAAGGGAGCGUAGAUGGGUUGUUAAGUCAGUUGUGAAAGUUUGCGGCUCAACCGUAAAAUUGCAAUUGAUACUGGCAGUCUAGAGUACAGUUGAGGUAGGCGGAAUUCGUGGUGUAGCGGUGAAAUGCUUAGAUAUCACGAAGAACCCCGAUUGCGAAGGCAGCUUACUAAACUGUGACUGACAUUGAUGCUCGAAAGUGUGGGUAUCAAACAGGAUUAGAUACCCCUGUAGUC
rnacentral:rRNA from 1 species